GCGAACGCUGGCGGCAGGCCUAACACAUGCAAGUCGAACGGAUCCUUCGGGAUUAGUGGCGGACGGGUGAGUAACACGUGGGAACGUGCCCUUUGGUUCGGAACAACUCAGGGAAACUUGAGCUAAUACCAGAUGUGCCCUUCGGGGGAAAGAUUUAUCGCCAUUGGAGCGGCCCGCGUCUGAUUAGCUAGUUGGUGAGGUAACGGCCCACCAAGGCGACGAUCAGUAGCUGGUCUGAGAGGAUGAUCAGCCACACUGGGACUGAGACACGGCCCAGACUCCUACGGGAGGCAGCAGUGGGGAAUCUUGCGCAAUGGGCGAAAGCCUGACGCAGCCAUGCCGCGUGAAUGAUGAAGGUCUUAGGAUUGUAAAAUUCUUUCAGCGGGGACGAUAAUGACGGUACCCGCAGAAGAAGCUCCGGCUAACUUCGU
rnacentral:rRNA from 1 species